rnacentral:tmRNA from 1 species
GGGGUUGACUGGUUUUGACAGCGGGUAGAGGUGGUUUGUAAGCAUGCAGUGCGUUGUCGGUUUGCACUUUAAUCUCAAACGUCAAAUCAUUAACUGGCAACAACAAUUACGCUCUUGCCGCGUAGCCGAAGUACAGUAAGCUGACGCUUAAUCCCGUCACCAGGUGAUGGGACAAGACAUCGCCCGGGAGCUGUGGCUCCGAAGCGUCCCGAUCAGGCGGUGCAGGUAAAUCGGAGAUAGGAUAGGGGAGGCUUCGGCCCCUUUCCGAAAUUAAAGAAGCUAAGGAGCGGGUAUGGUGGCUUCAGUCGCGCCCACUCCCUACAACCAAAAUGAAGCUAAGCAUGUAGAAAGCAGAUGGCUUCCUCGUUUGGACGCGGGUUCGACUCCCGCCAACUCCACGG